rnacentral:rRNA from 1 species
GGACCCGCACAAGCGGCGGGAGCAUGCGGAUUAAUUCGAUGCAACGCGAAGAACCUUACCAAGGCUUGACAUAUACGAGAACGGGCCAGAAAUGGUCAACUCUUUGGACACUCGUAAACAGGUGGUGCAUGGUUGUCGUCAGCUCGUGUCGUGAGAUGUUGGGCUAAGUCCCGCAACGAGCGCAACCCUCGUUCUAUGUUGCCAGCACGUAAUGGUGGGAACUCAUGGGAUACUGCCGGGGUCAACUCGGAGGAAGGUGGGGAUGACGUCAAAUCAUCAUGCCCCUUAUGUCUUGGGCUUCACGCAUGCUACAAUGGCCGGUACAAAGGGCUGCAAUACCGCGAGGUGGUGCGAAUCCCAAAAAGCCGGUCUCAGUUCGGAUUGGGGUCUGCAACUCGACCCCAUGAAGUCGGAGUCGCUAGUAAUCGCAGAUCAGCAACGCUGCGGUGAAUACGUCCCCGGGCCUUGUACACACCGCCCGUCAAGUCACGAAAGUUGGUAACACCCGAAGCCGGUGGCCUAACCCCUUGUGGGAGGGAGCUGUCGAAGGUGGGACUGGCGAUUGG